rnacentral:lncRNA from 1 species
AAAUGACGUAACUCCAAGCCAAGUUUUCUUUCCCCUCAUUGUGCAAGAUAACCAAAGAUGCUCUUGACAUUUUGAAUUUACUCUUUCCCAUUUGGCUACCUG